UACGUAGGGCGCAAGCGUUGUCCGGAAUUAUUGGGCGUAAAGCGCUCGUAGGCGGCUUGUCACGUCGGGUGUGAAAGCCCGGGGCUUAACCCCGGGUCUGCAUUCGAUACGGGCUAGCUAGAGUGUGGUAGGGGAGAUCGGAAUUCCUGGUGUAGCGGUGAAAUGCGCAGAUAUCAGGAGGAACACCGGUGGCGAAGGCGGAUCUCUGGGCCAUUACUGACGCUGAGGAGCGAAAGCGUGGGGAGCGAACAGG
rnacentral:rRNA from 1 species